GUAGGCCUCAAAUAAUGUGUGACUACCCCCUAAAU
rnacentral:rRNA from 1 species